GAUGAACGCUGGCGGCGUGCCUAAUACAUGCAAGUCGAGCGAACAGACGAGGAGCUUGCUCCUCUGACGUUAGCGGCGGACGGGUGAGUAACACGUGGAUAACCUACCUAUAAGACUGUGAUAACUUCGGGAAACCGGAGCUAAUACCGGAUAACAUGUUGAACCGCAUGGUUCAACAGUGAAAGACGGUUUUGCUGUCACUUAUAGGUUGAUCCGCGUCGCAUUAGCUAGUUGGUAAGGUAACGGCUUACCAAGGCAACGAUGCGUAGCCGACCUGAGAGGGUGAUCGGCCACACUGGAACUGAGACACGGUCCAGACUCCUACGGGAGGCAGCAGUAGGGAAUCUUCCGCAAUGGGCGAAAGCCUGACGGAGCAACGCCGCGUGAGUGAAGAAGGUCUUCGGAUCGUAAAACUCUGUUAUUAGGGAAGAACAAAUGUGUAAGUAACUAUGCACGUCUUGACGGUACCUAAUCAGAAAGCCACGGCUAACUACGUG
rnacentral:rRNA from 1 species